GCCCUGAAAUAAGUUGAUGGCAGUUAUGGCAUGGGCUGAUCUACCCAGUCAGCAAGGCCAGAUUGCAGAGAAACUCAGAGUCUAGGAAAAUGAAUGUCUAGGAACAUUCCUCAAAUAGUCCUACCAGAAGACACAAAGAUGAUGCAUCCGGAUGAAGAAUAUAUCACUGAGAUUAAUGGCCCUGGGUUGCAGCCAAAAGCAUCUCAGAGGUAGAACACUGUUGCAGAUGGUGAUGUUACCAUUUGAAAGUAAGAAGAAAACUAGUAUCUCUUUACACCAAGAGUAAAAAUAGAGAAGAUGCUUACAAACUGCAACACAUAGAGUUUCUUGAAAUCACAGUUUGGGAGUGGAGGAAAAGGCUGCUUAAGUGUUUGGAAAGGGAGAGUAAGGAUGAAAUAGAGUGGGGGUAUGAUGCAUUUCCUGACUGUGGUCGGCUUUCCAUGGGUGAAACAGAAAAGUCUUCAAAUAUCCUCACCAACUGCUUUCCUAGAUUUUUCAGCCAGUUACUUGACCAUAUUAGGAAAAGAAAGAUUUCUCAUAAAUCUUUAGCAUACUACACCCAUCUCAGAGCUGGCCUCUUGAGGUAGCCACACCGCCACAGGAACCAUUGUAAUCUCUGCAUCAAGUUCAAGUUCACAAAUAAGCAAAGAGGUGUGUACUACUAUUUGACACUUAGGUGUAUUGGAGCACAAUUUGACAUGAGUAAGGUUAUUAAGGUUUACAUUUAUUUUCUUAAUUGUGUUCAAAUGUAAUUCCUUUAAGUUCCUGGAAGAAACACUUUUUAUUUAUAUUGGUAUAAACUAUGUGGAAGUUUUUAGAGGAAAUUUAAUACUGUGUAAAGUGAAAUAAAAUCAUUUUUACCUUCACUGCCUUAAAAGAGACAUAAAAAAUAUAAAUCUAAUUUAGAAGUUUCAAUAGUUUAUUAGUUUUACCUAUUUAAGCUAAAUUCCUUAAAUGUAGUUUUUCUUUUGGGAGGAAACAUUGUUUUGUGUGUGAUGAACACUUAGAUAACUUUCAAGAAGGAUAUAAAACUGAUAUAUAUCUUCACUCGCUUGCCAGAUAAAAUAAGAAAUUUCUAUUCAUGUUCAUUGACUCAUUUAUUUUUUUGGUUAAAUUCUGUUUACUUAUGUCAUUUGUUUUAAGUUUUUAUUAAGGUGACAACAAAUUUCAAACUGACAGCAUUUAAAAUAAAUAUUCACCAUUGCCAACAUAGCUUUUUAAGAGUCUGCAAAUAGAAAGAAAGGUAAUUUUUUUCUGUAUUUUCCAGACUUGUGACAAAGAGCUAGGUGAAAACAGGGGAAAAAGGAGGAAAAUAAAGAAGCACCAGACUAAACCUGAAGAAAGGGGACAUUUAAAAAUUCUUCCUUUUGUGUUCAGAGCUCACAACAUAGAAAAAGAUAUGGUUAAAAAAAAGUCGUGAUGCUCAUAAAAAGCAACAUUUUAUUUUCAAGCCAAUUACAUUAAUUAUACAAUUACCUUGUAGCCAGUAAGAAUCACAUAUAUAUGAAAGCAAAAUAUUGUUUAAUUGAAUAAAACAAUCUGAUACAUAUGCCCAAAAAACAAUAGAGUAAAUAAGAGUUUUCCCAACAGUGGCAAAGAGAAUAAUUUUCAUGUUGAGUUUUAUUGAUCUCCGGAACAGUAGCUCCCCUGAGCAGAGAACCAUAACAGAAUUAAGGAAAGAUAUUUCCAUUCCAGAGACCAGACAUUUGGAGGACAGUGAGUAUAAAUCAUGAACCUAGCCAAUUAUUUUAUUUCUUAUUGGAUUCUUGACUGUUUCUUACUUUCAUCAUUUCGUGAGUCAUGACUAACAGUGCUUGUGCUCAUCUACAGUAAUUGAUUCUGAGAGAAAUUUCUCCAAGGAUUCCUGCAGUUCUCCUUUGAACAUACGAAGAGGGAACAUUCUUUCAGUCCUAGAAGUUGCUGAAGCAGAGAUGGAGAACCCCAGACUGGAGGGCUUUGAUUUCACCCUGCACAUCUAAGGGCAUAAAUUGGUUCCAGGUCAGGAUCAUAUGAGCAUAAGUCUGAGUUGGGUGUCUCUGAUCAUUCCAGAAUUCCAUUGGAAGGCAGACUUAUAUUCCUGAGAAGCAGGAAUGAGAAGCACAGUGGAAUUUUGCAAAGGAAACAGAACUUGAACUCAGCAGUCGUAGGUGCCAGUCCUUGACUAGCUAUAAUAUUGGGCAAGUCAUAUAAAUUCUCCAGGCACAGUGUCCCUUUUGGCAAACAACAGACAGAAUAUAAAUAUGUGUUGCCAGGUCAGUGGACAUUUCAAGGACAGUUUGAUUUUAAUGUGAAGUCAUCUAAUUUUAAAUGCUCUAUUAAAUUUUAUUUUUUUUAGUUGUAUAAGCUUAAGAACAGGUAUCAGACAAGACUUCUU